ensembl:snRNA U6 U6 spliceosomal RNA
GUACUUACUUUGGCAGCACAUAUACUAAAAUUGGAAUGAUACAGAGAUCAGCAUGGCCCCUGAGUAAGGAUGACAUGCAAAUCCAUGAAGCUUUCCAUAUUUUU